UACGUGAGCCCCGAGCGUUAUCCGGAAUUACUGGGCGUAAAGCGUGCGUAGGUGGUUUACUAAGUCAGGUGUGAAAUCCCCGGGCUCAACCUGGGAACUGCGCUUGAUACUGGUAAACUAGAGUUUAGUAGAGGGAAGUGGAAUUCCACGUGUAGCGGUGAAAUGCGUAGAUAUGUGGAGGAACACCAGUGGCGAAGGCGGCUUCCUGGACUAAAACUGACACUGAGGCACGAAAGCGUGGGUAGCAAACAGG
rnacentral:rRNA from 1 species